rnacentral:lncRNA from 1 species
GGCUUCUUUUUUUUCCCCUGCCUUUGUUGUGUGUGUUCUUCAGCUCUGGGAACUGCUGGUCCUAACUCACGAGGGGAUCUUCAGUGCUCACCUGCUCCAAGGAGUAUGUGAAAUAAGCUGGGCAGCAGCUGCCAAAGUAUCUUGGAAAAUGAGAAGAAAACAUGAAAAUAUCAGUUUAUCUAGAGAACACAUUUCUGUGACUGUCAAAGCUCUGCUACCACCUGGGACAUGCUUUAGACCCAGAAUCUUUCCAAUGAGGCAUUUUACUGGCAUCUCUUUACUGAAAGGAGAAAGAUAACUCUUGAUGGACUGAUCAGCCAUGCCAGAUGGUGAGAUACAUGCACCUCUCCUCUUCUAACAAUGCUCAAAAGUUUUCCUAGAAGCCCAGAUUCUGCAGAAGAAGGAGUGGAAGGAGGGGGACUUUCAGCUCAACUCAGUUUUGCAGCCACCCUUAGCCCCAUUUCUGAAAAUCUUCAGUGAGAUGUGAUUAACUCAAUGCUCUGGGCAGAGUCCCCUUGAGGGCUGAUGAGCUUUAAAUGCACAGGCAGUGGAAAUUUAUUCUCCUUGCAAAGCCAGGUGUGUGCAUUACUCUUUGUUGAUUCAGAACCAUGUUCACAAGAGUAAAAUCAACUGAACCCACUACACUUUGUGUGACCCUGUUCAGAAGAAAUUGUCGGGAUUUUUCUUCUAAAUGUCUUGAAUUGGCUAUAAUCAACUUUCAUUCCAUCUGACUCUUUCAUCCUGAUUCCUGCAAAACAGCCCAACACCUUGCAUAUAACAGUGUGAAUAGAAAUAAACUGUAAAGGCCCUGGUG